rnacentral:rRNA from 1 species
GACGAACGCUGGCGGCGUGCCUAAUACAUGCAAGUAGAACGCAGUUGCGAACGGGGGAGUAACGCGUAGGUAACUGCCUCAUAGCGGGGGAGAACUAUUGGAAAAGAUAGCUAAUACCGCAUACUGUGAGAUGGACCUGCGUGAGAUUAGCUAGUUGGUGAGGUAAAGGCUCAACAAGGCGACGAUACAUAGCCGACCUGAGAGGGUGAUCGGCCACACGGGGACUGAGACACGGCCCAGACUCCUACGGGAGGCAGCAGUAGGGAAUCUUCGGCAAUGGACGAAAGUCUGACCGAGAAACGCCGCGUGAGUGAAGAAGGUUUUCGGAUCGUAAAACUCUGUUGUCAGGGAAGCGGUAUCUAACCAGAAAGCCACGGCUAACUACGUGCCAGCAGCCGCGGUAAUUC